AACAGGAGUGUUGUAUGUCAGACAGGGAAGUAAUUGUUCCUCUCUCCUCAGCACUGGUGAGGCCUCAGCUGGAGUAUUGUGUCCGGAGGAAACCAACAAAAGUGAAAAGAGGUUUCGCUAUGUGGCCCAUAUAAGGCAGCGAAUAAUGAAUGGCACUUGACUUGGAAGAUGAAGAAGCAAAACACCUCUAAACCCUGGCAGAAGCAGCAAUAGAAAAUGCAGGUUGUCUAUAGAGCAAGAGGCCAUUAUAAGACUGAGCUGAGAUCGAUUUGGACACUCAUGUAAAGGAAGAGGCAUGGACUCACGGUCCAAGAACAGGACUAGAUGCUAAGAACUUCUGGAUCUCAACUCUGCUACUGACUUACUCUCUGGCUUUAGGUAAAUCAUGUAACUUCAAUCUCAUUUAACUUGUCUGAAAAAAAGGAAAUAAUUAUACUUACAGUAGGGGUAUGCACAAGGAGGGGCAAGCAGGAGCACGCCCCCCCCAAUAAGUGGGGGAACAGAACUCCUGCAGGACCAGUCGAGGAGACCGAGCUCCUCCAGUCCCGGGCCAGGGCAGGAGACGACAGCUCCACCAUCCCUGUGGCCACCUGGGGAGAACCAGAUCCUCUGGCCAUGGGGGAGAAGGGGGACAGCCAGCUCCUCUGUCCGUGGGAGGGGUGGCGGGGGGAGCCAGCUUCUUUGGCUAUGGGGGGCACAGAACAUGCCCCUCCAAAAGCAGCCAAAAUUUUAUUCCUGUGCACACCCCUGACUUACAGUAUCUAGCUAUAAGGGUGUAGGGAGAAUUAAAUAGUUCACGUUUGUAAAGUUCUGUAUAAGGGCUAGGCAUUAUUACUGUUAGACAUUUUAUCCUUAUUUGUAGUAUAAUUUUAUUACCUUUUCCCAUAGAUAAAAAAACCCUAUGCUGAGUAGUACUCUACAUCAUGAGUAGUCCCGUUGAAAUCACUGUCAUUACUUCUUGAGUGAGAUACUACACAUUACGGCCAGAUUCUGCCACCCAUACUAAGAGAAAAGUGACAAAGAAUAAUACAUCAAUUUUCAACUUGGCAAAAGAUUGACAAGGUGGUGCCCCAAGGUCCCAUCCUACCAGUGUGCUGUCUAAUAUAUCUAGAUCAGUGAUCUGAAAAAUGGUGAUGAGCAGUGAGACCGGAAAGCUUGUUGCGGUGACAGGAUUAUAUACAUUAGUUAAGACUAGGGUGACCAGAUGUCCCAUUUUUAAAGGGACAGUCCCAUAUUUAAGCCCUCCUGGAGGUCUUCCAAUUUUUUCUUAUGUAAGCAGAGUCAGGCUGAGCUCUACCCUGACAUCUGGUGGUGAAUUAUGUGUGGAAAAGAACUCCAGGGGCUGAUCUUGUUUGCUUAGGCACA